rnacentral:rRNA from 1 species
AGAGUUUGAUCAUGGCUCAGGAUGAACGCUGGCGGUAUGCCUAACACAUGCAAGUCGUACGAGAGUUUUCGGACUCUAGUGGCGGACGGGUGAGUAACACGUGAGAAUUUGCCUUUAGGAGGGGGAUAACAAUUGGAAACGAAUGCUAAUACCCCAUAUGCUUUCGAGUGAAACGGAUUUAUCCGCCUAAAGAGAAGCUCGCGGCUGAUUAGCUUGUUGGUAAGGUAAGAGCUUACCAAGGCGACGAUCAGUAUCUGGUUUGAGAGGACGAUCAGACACACUGGAACUGAGACACGGUCCAGACUCCUACGGGAGGCAGCAGUGGGGAAUUUUCCGCAAUGGGCGAAAGCCUGACGGAGCAAUACCGCGUGAGGGAUGACUGCCUAUGGGUUGUAAACCUCUUUUUUCAGGGAGGAAUAAAUGACGUGUACCUGAAGAAUAAGCAUCGGCUAACUCCGUGCCAGCAGCCGCGGUAAGACGGAGGAUGCAAGUGUUAUCCGGGAAUCACUGGGCGUAAAGCGUCUGUAGGUGGCUUAAUAAGUCAACUGUUAAUCUGAGGCUCAACUUCGAAAUCGCAGU